rnacentral:lncRNA from 1 species
UGCGACUCGGACUUGUCCCGACACUCUCACGACGUGUCGACAAGCCUCAACUGCUGUACUCCAGGGAUACCACAAUUAGUGUGUGUGUGUGUGUGUCUGUGUGUGUGUGUGUGUAUAUAUAUAUAUAGUCUAGCUGGAAUACUAUCGAUAGCACUAAGGACUUGGUGCUAUCGAGUUUUACACCGUUAGAUUUAACCCUUUGAUUAUUUUUACUUGUUAGAUUAUACUAUCAACCAACCAUCCACUCAACCUAAGGGGUCCACAUCAUCUUAACCACACAUUUCUUAAUCCAAGGGCUAAAAAAUUAAUAGCACCAAUAGAUUAGUGCUAUUGAUAGCAUUCCAGCAUAGUU